UUCCUUUAGCCUUGGCUCUCUCAAUCCUUUCCUGCUCCAGCCUUUUAAACAAACGCUGCUCUAUAUGGUCACUGAGAAUUGUUUUCGGCAGAUCUUUCGCUCCAAGAACAGAACUUUGAGGUAAAGGCACUCUCUCGUUUUGCUCCACCUCAGUUAUAUAGCACCUUGUGCAGGUGUACUCAGCUUGCCCUCCAUCAUUCCUCCGCCCAUUAAACAGAGCACAUAUUUGAUGCUGCCAGGCCUCACAUUUAUCACACUGGACCCACUGCAAAACCAUGUAGCGCAAUAGACCAAACUCAGAAAACCUACAAAGGGGGACACACACAUGACUAAUACAACUCUACUGAGUGAAUGGACUUUACCGCUUCUUCAGUCUCUUCAUCGUUCCUCUUUUUCUCGAGUUUUGCCUUCGGUAUUGAAGUCCCUUCAGCGAGUAUUGUGUCUCCUCGUGAUUCAUUAAAACAGGGAAUACAAAAGUAGUGGCGAGUUUCACCAGCUCCAACAGUAUAGUACAUUGCGUUUCUUUUGAUACGAGCACCACAAGGAGUGCAAUAAAGAGGAGGUGGCUCGAAUGUAAGCCUCUCCACCGCACAUAACUGGCAGGAAUUUGGACUCAUCGAAUUCUCCAUGGCCUGAUUCUUUUCUACUUUGGCUUUACUCUGCAGAAAGAAAUACAAAUCAAUAGAAAAGUUAUUAUUCAUCAGCGAGCACAUACUUGUGGAGAGAAAAUAAAAGGAUAAAUCUAUGAAUAAAAAUUGCUUUUCUGUAAAUUUUUGAAGUCAAUAAAAUCGCACACCUGGCCAACCCACUGACGAAGACUAAGAAUAUGUUCUCUCACUUGGUCGGGAGUGAACAUUUCAGUUAAAGAAACACCCUUUAUCUUUGGUUUUCCAGGUUUUGAUGCAACAACGUCAGCAGACUCCACCACAACUUCUUCCUUCGGCUCUUUCUCCAUUUUAACGUUUUCUUGCUUUAGCGAGGCACCAGAUAAAUCAUGUUGACCUGGUUCACUGACAGGCCUAGGUUUGGGAACAUUUUCAACAGCUUCAUGUUUUAUCUCCUUGAUGCUGAAUCCUGCUUGAACAGAAACAUCAGGAAUCUCUUCUUUCACUUCCAACUUCUCUGACUUCAAUGCCGCAUGUGCGUCGCUCUGCAUAUGAUCCUUUCUUUCAGCAUUCUGAGAUGGUUCUGUCUCUGCUUUGGGAACAAUGGAGCUUUUACAAACUUCACUCUCACGGACCACUGGUUCAAAAGAAGGCUCCACCUUCAACCGUUUUGAUGAAGGUUCCAAAUUAUCUACAGUAUCAGUACAUCCAGGGGCACCAGAAACGGCUCCAUCAGUAGCGCAUGGUGAAUCAUUUGAUACUACAGCUCCGUUCACUACACUGCUUUCGCUUUUUAAACGGGCCUGGACACGCGCAUUAGCUUGCUGCUGAUGGUAGGUCUUAACUGGUACACAGACGGGGCACCGAGGAUCCUUGCAGUUUUUAUAGUGGCCAAUCAACGACUUCGUGGGGCGACAACGAGGAUACAAACACUGAGGCUCUACACAGCUGUUCAUGUGACUCAGUAGCUUCUGAACAGUAACGCAGUUUCGUCCCGGGCACUUCACUCCUGGCCGUUUGCAGGUCCGUGCAUGAAGCAGAAACAAGAGCCAUCUCUGUUGAUUUUGGAACUUGACAUCGCGAUUUCCAUAUCUACAUGCCGUUCCAGUUGCAUUUUGCAGACUGUGGGAUUCGGAUGCGGUGGAAGUAUGAAUUUGACCAAUAACAGACCCUUCCAUCAAAUUAUUAGGUUGAGCUUCAUCCGUACCGGUAACUCUUUCACGAAAAUCCUCCUGAACGUUCUGUUCACUCGACAUACCAUUAGACAUUUGAGUGUUUCCCUGAGACUGGGAAGGCCACUGAUCCUGUGGAUUGGAUUCUAAUUUUACUCCAACAGCAAGGUUGCUAAAACUGUGGACUGUAUCAGAGCCCGGGUGCAUCAUUUGCUGAACCUGUUGGCUAUUUUGAGGAAGGAGCGUGCAUAUAUCACUCUGACUUGUAACUGCUACAUGUUGAGCGUUUGCAGAGCGGUCUGCUCCUGGGUUCUGAUAUUGAUUCUUAAAAAGGUAAAACAAUGAGUGACCAACCAGUAAACUUCUUUCCAAAGAAGAAGCACUACAGCCAUUUAAUACCUCAUCAUAAUUUUUUCCUUUAGCCUUGGCUCUCUCAAUCCUUUCCUGCUCCAGCCUUUUAAACAAACGCUGCUCUAUAUGGUCACUGAGAAUUGUUUUCGGCAGAUCUUUCGCUCCAAGAACAGAACUUUGAGGUAAAGGCACUCUCUCGUUUUGCUCCACCUCAGUUAUAUAGCACCUUGUGCAGGUGUACUCAGCUUGCCCUCCAUCAUUCCUCCGCCCAUUAAACAGAGCACAUAUUUGAUGCUGCCAGGCCUCACAUUUAUCACACUG
rnacentral:lncRNA from 1 species